rnacentral:rRNA from 1 species
UGGGGAAUUUUGGACAAUGGGGGAAACCCUGAUCCCAGCCAUCCCGCGUGUGCGAUGAAGGCCUUCGGGUUGUAAAGCACUUUUGGCAGGAAAGAAACGUCGCGGGUUAAUACCCCGCGGAACUGACGGUACCUGCAGAAUAAGCACCGGCUAACUACGUGCCAGCAGCCGCGGUAAUACGUAGGGUGCAAGCGUUAAUCGGAAUUACUGGGCGUAAAGCGUGCGCAGGCGGUUCGGAAAGAAAGAUGUGAAAUCCCAGAGCUUAACUUUGGAACUGCAUUUUUAACUACCGGGCUAGAGUGUGUCAGAGGGAGGUGGAAUUCCGCGUGUAGCAGUGAAAUGCGUAGAUAUGCGGAGGAACACCGAUGGCGAAGGCAGCCUCCUGGGAUAACACUGACGCUCAUGCACGAAAGCGUGGGGAGCAAACAGGAUUAGAUACCCUGGUAGUCCACGCCCUAAAACGAUGUCAACUAGCCUGUUGGGGGUCUUCGGACCCUUGGUAGCGCAGCUAACGCGUGAAGUUGACCGCCCUGGGGAGUACGGUCGCAAGAUUAAAACUCAAAUGAA